UACGUAGGGGGCAAGCGUUGUCCGGAAUCAUUGGGCGUAAAGCGCGUGUAGGCGGCCUGGUAAGUCCGUUCUGAAAGCCCGGGGCUCAACCCCGGGAGGCGGAUGGAUACUGUCAGGCUAGAGUACGGAAGAGGCGAGUGGAAUUCCCGGUGUAGCGGUGAAAUGCGCAGAUAGUCGGGAGGAACACCAAUGGCGAAGGCAGCUCGCUGGG
rnacentral:rRNA from 1 species